AGUCUUAUAUUCAAAAAUGAUAUAAAAUUGCAAAUUUUAUGGUGUGGUAAAAUUACUAAGGCUU
rnacentral:tRNA from 1 species